rnacentral:rRNA from 1 species
UGGGGAAUUUUGCACAAUGGAGGGAACUCUGAUGCAGCGACGCCGCGUGAGUGAUGAAGGAAUUCGUUUCGUAAAACUCUGUUCUAUGGGAAGAAAAGGACUGUACCAUAGGAGAAAGCUCCGGCUAAAUACGUGCCAGCAGCCGCGGUAAUACGUAUGGAGCGAGCGUUGUCCGGAAUUAUUGGGCGUAAAGGGUGCGCAGGCGGAAAUGCAAGUCAGGUGUAAAAGGCAGUAGCUUAACUACUGUAAGCAUUUGAAACUGCAUAUCUUGAGAAGAGUAGAGGUAAGUGGAAUUUUUAGUGUAGCGGUGAAAUGCGUAGAUAUUAAAAAGAAUACCGGUGGCGAAGGCGACUUACUGGGCUCAUUCUGACGCUGAGGAACGAAAGCGUGGGUAGCAAACAGG